UGUGUAUAAUUAUGGUGCAGGACCAUAUCCAUGGAGGAAAAAGUUCGAAAAGCUGUGACGUUAUAGUAUCCAAGCCAGGCGUGAGACCAGUCCAUUGCCUACUUGAAGUUUAAACAACGGAAAGGACAAGUUUGCUUUAUACACUGAUGUCGGAGCUUGGAGAAAUUCACUUGACUACAUUACCCAGCUCAGGCAGUCUGCAAUACUCAAAGAAUGUCCACGACUAAGAUGUUGAACCAGAUGGCCUACAUCCAGAACUGACGCAUGGAGUUCAAAACUACAUGGAUAAAGGCAGCUACGUUCGAUUCGGCUUAAGGUCACCAUAGUUAGCCCAGACAGCCCUCCGGCACUUUGUCAGAGGACAGAUCAUCUGAGAUGUGAUUGAGAGUCAUGAGGUAACCGCUGUGCAAAUAUUUGGCUCGGAUCUGACAAACCGCAAAAAGUUUGCCUUUUAAAGAGUGUGGCAUAUCAUUCCAACAAGAUGUGCAUUGCCCCAUCACCUUUGUCCAGCCACCUGGCAGAUUCCCUGCGGAGUAGUUGUGUGCUAACUUCUCGGGUUCCAUCACCAAUGAUGGCUUCCCCAAGGCUACAACUACAUACAGAAGAUGAUAGUCAACAUUCAGCUUGUGAUGUAAGAAACGGGCAUUCAGCCGGCGAAUAUAAACCAGCACACCUUAACUGCUUGGUAGUUUUCAUGUGCAGUGCUCAUGGAAAGUGCAGGGAGAGGAUCUUGCUGGAACAGGUGCUCACCCUUCAGUUGGCUCGAUUGGUAGCGCCCAAGUCACUGCCAGCGCCCAUGA